UAAAGGGUGCGUAGGCGGCCUGUUAAGUCAGGGGUGAAAGACGGUAGCUCAACUAUCGCAGUGCCCUUGAUACUGAUGGGCUUGAAUUGACUAGAGGUAGGCGGAAUGUGACAAGUAGCGGUGAAAUGCAUAGAUAUGUCACAGAACACCGAUUGCGAAGGCAGCUUACUAUGGUCUUAUUGACGCUGAGGCACGAAAGCGUGGGGAUCAAACAGGAUUAGAUACCCAGU
rnacentral:rRNA from 1 species